rnacentral:tRNA from 1 species
GGGCCUGUAGCUCAUCUGGUAGAGCGCACGAUUCGCAUUCGUGAGGUGGUCGGUUCGAGUCCGAUCAGGUCCA